rfam:Erinaceus europaeus unplaced genomic scaffold scaffold00849, whole genome shotgun sequence
GUUCACCUCGGCAGCACGUAUACUAAGACUGGAAGGGUGCAGAGAAGAUUAGCAUGGGCCCUGUGCACAGAUGACAUGCAAAUUCCUGAAGCAGUCCAUAUAUUU